rnacentral:rRNA from 1 species
GGACUACUGGGGUAUCUAAUCCCGUUCGCUCCCCUGGCUUUCGUGUCUCAGCGUCUGCAAACCCCCAGCGAGCUGUUUUCACCAUUGGCGUUCCAGAUGAUAUCUACGCAUUUCACCGCUCCACCAUCUGUUCCGCUCGCCCCUAGGUUGCACAAGAUCGCCAGUAUACCAAGCAGUUCCAUGGUUGAGCCAUGGGAUUUCACAAGGUACUUAACGACCCGCCUACACACGCUUUAAGCCCAGUGAUUCCGCCUAACGCUCGAGACCUCUGUAUUACCGCGGCGGCUGGCAC